rnacentral:lncRNA from 1 species
CACGUGAGGCAGUGGGAUGGACUCUUUCCAUCCGAAGAAGAAGGAAGAGCCCUGUUUUAGGGCUUCCUCCUCCUUCUCCUUCUCCUUUGAAUCCACCGAAGGAGAACCGCCGCACCCAAGGAAGAAAGGGGGGGAGGGUCUUCUUCAUGUUGCCGCCGAAAGAGAGAGGGAGAGAGAGGACCAUUGGGUUCGGUACGAGGGUCUUCUUCUUCUUCAUUGCCGUCGGAGAGGGGAAGGCGCCGGUCUUCGUCGGGGCUGAGGUAAGAGUCCCUCGCUUUCUUCUCCUCCUCUUCUGAUGCUUGGCCAUGAUGUGUUGUGGG